UACGGAGGGUGCAAGCGUUGUCCGGAUUUAUUGGGUUUAAAGGGUGCGUAGGCGGCCCCUGGUACAGUCAGUGGUGAAAUACUGCAGCUUAACUGUAGCAUUGCCAUUGAUACUGUAGGGCUUGAGUACAGAUGAGGUAGGCGGAAUUGAUGGUGUAGCGGUGAAAUGCAUAGAUACCAUCAAGAACACCGAUUGCGAAGGCAGCUUACUAAGCUGUAA
rnacentral:rRNA from 1 species